AGCGAGGCAGCCGUGAGGCGGAGGACAGGCUGGGGGAUCCCAAAGGGUGCGCUCCAGCCCCCAACCCAGGCACUGGGACUCUGGUGGCACCCUGGGUGGCAGGCAAGCCUUGAAAUCAAGUGCACGAGCCUUGGAAAGGAGGACCGGGAGAGUUAUGGCAUUUAUGAAUGAAGAAGAGAAAGAGAAUCACUCGGAUGGGAAAAGUUAACUGGAUUGUUCCCACCUGCAUGGAUCACCGGGAUGAAGCUGUGCCACCCUGUAGGAAUUAGAAGACCAUGUCCAGGAAUUGAGCACUGGGUGCAGGAUCCAGUCUUCUGAGGCCCUGAAACCACAUGAAGCAACUUAGCCGUCUCGCCUUGCGGCCUGGAACCCCUGGCAAUUUCCGGAGCACCGGCAAGAGACUUUUGCACAGUUUCUGCUUGGAGUCUACCGACUGUCUGUCUCAGAGGUCUGGACAGCUGCUUGUUACAUUUGGCUCACGCUAGCUUAAAAAAGGAAUUUAUGGACCUUACUGCAGAACGUCCCAAUUCUUCAGGCCAAGGUGCCUGUGUUCCUGCUCGGUUUCUGGAUUGCUUGGUACUUAAAUGAAACAUCUUAUUAAUCAUUUCCCGGGAAUGCUGUGCAGGCAAAAGGAAAACAAAGGCAUUCAGGAGCCACAGAAAAGUGUACUGGCUCCUGUCCUGGAUCAACUCAGAAAAUGAAACACAUCGGAUUCUGUCCAGGCCGGGCACAGCAACCUGGCCCAUCCAUGUGGAGCCUGCAGUGACCACUUCCGCUGUCUGCACAAAACUGGAGGGAGGCUGGGGGUGCUCCAAGUAUAAGUUUCCUCAUCAGCAAACCGGAAAGAGAAAGACCGACCUGGAGGCUGGUUAUGGGGAUAAAAUAAAUAUGUCCUUAUAUAUGUGUAUAAAGCCCCAGCACAAACAGCAGUCGCCGCAUGGGUCAGGGAGGCACUGCUUGGAGCCUUAUGUGACCGUGUUCUCACAUUAUCUUCCAACUGGUUUGGGAGACAGGUACUGCUAUGAUCUCUGUAUUACACAGAAGCAAACUGAAGCUCAGAGUGGCCGCUCACUUCACUCCGAACAGAAGGUGCUUGAGCUCUGUGCUGAUAGAUGGAAUCCCAGAUUUUCCAUUUAACUUUUGAUGUUGUGUCGUGGGAGUGGUGUUCCACCUUUGGAGGGUUUUAAGGACUCUUUAUUAACCAGCAAGGGUUCUUGUGCCUUUAAGGAGGAGUGAUUGAGAGGCACCUGCAAGGCCGGUGGAGGCUGCUCUGGAGGCCUGCCUCUUCCAGCCCACAGGCCCUGCUUCCUGGAACUGGUGUGGGUCACUCAUUCCAGUUCGCCUCUGAAACUAUUUUCAUGACAGUAAGCUGCUACCUCAAGAAACAGCAACAGUAGGGAUUUUGCCUGUCAGGUAAGGUGCUUGGGGAGUGAAGGCUGUGGUCAGGAUCCAAGCAGGAAGCCUGAGUUCAUGUCUAUUCUUCACCGAGCAUGGCCAAGUCCAUUUGAGUCCAUCUCCAGAAGACAUGUCAAAAUCACCCACUUAUCUCCAUCUUCAACUCCUCCCAGGUCACCACCUUAUCUUCCUUAGAUGACUGCACUAGCUUCCUGACUGGUUUCCCUAAAACCCAUUCAUUUAUCUAUCCCUUCUACCAUUUCUCCCACCAAACAUCCAUCUCACCACCCACCAUCCUGCCACUUAUCUUUCCCUCCCUCCCUCAUUCCCUUCCUCCAUCUAUCUCUCCAUCCAUCCAUCCAUCCAUCCAUCCAUCCAUCCAUCCACCCACUAAUAUGUAUUUAGUGGUUACAAUGUCCCAAGCACUGUAUGGGUCCCAGUGUAGGUGGAAAAGGAAACAGAUUUCCUGACCUCAAACAAAACAAUAAAUUUCAAAGUAAGAAGCCCCACGAGGGAGGAAGUGUAGGCUGUCUUGAAAGAGGAUGAUAUCAGGAGACAUAUAUGGAGAGGGCUUGGAGGAGGUGAUGCGCCUCACCAGGAGGUGAUAUACUGAUAGAGGGACUAUAUAAUUUAUUGAUCAAACGGGGCCAUUUUGGGGAGUGAGAGGAGGAGCUAUUAAACAUUUUUUCAGGGCACCAGGUGCAUGUCAGGACUGGCCAGGUAAACUGAGCUGCAUGGCUACCUCCUACAAGCCAAGGUUCACAGCAUGAGCUGAGAAAGGGGCAAGGAGGAGAGAAAUGCCCCUUCCUUUCCUUGGGGAGAGCCUGCAAACCUACAUUUAAAAGAACUAGGAGAAGGCUGGGUCCGGUGGCUCACGCCUGUAAUCCCAGCUCUUUGGGAGGCUGAGGUGGGUGGAUCAUGAGGUCAGGAGUUCAAGACCAGCCUGGCCAAUAUGGUGAAAUCCCAUCUCUACUAAAAAAUACAAAAAUUAGCUGGAGGUGGUGGCGUGCGCCUAUAGUCCCAGCUACUCAGGAGGCUGGGGCAGGAGAAUCGCUGGAACUAGGGAGGCAGAGGUUGCAGGGAGCCGAGAUCAUGCCACUGCACUCCAGCCUGGGUGACAGAGUGAGACUCCAUCUCAAAAAAAAAAAAAAAAAAAGGGGGCUAGGAGAGAAAGUAAAGAGGAAAAAGAAAGAGCUGUGGAGUGCUGGGGCAAGAGUGAGUUUUGGGGAUGGAGGUUAAGCAAAUAAGAGUCUCAGGGAAAUGCGGGAUGGCAGAGUUGGGGGAGAGGAGAAAAUAGGGUAUAAGAAAUGUUUUUCUGUGUUGUGAAUUGGGCUCCCUUCGAUGCUGCUUUUACUGUUGUCUAUCAAAAGAUGCAAGUGAAAGAGUGGCAUUCCCUUUGCUUUCUCUAAGGCGUGUUUGCUGUUUGGGAUGUGCAUCUUGGACUAAGUCUCCUUCUGGAGCUUGGAACACCAGGUUCUGCCGUCACAACCUUUAUCAUGCACAGGUCGCCCUGGCAUGGACAGGACCUUAGCUUUAUUGUCCGUGCUCCCUCGCUCAACUGAGAGCUUUCUGAGGGCAGGGCCUCUGUCUGCUUGUCUCUAGUCCCAGCACCUAGCACAGGCUAGCAUUUAGUAUGUGCUCAAUAGUGUGCAGUGUAGGGACGAGUGCACGGGCUCCAGCGUGGUUAAU
rnacentral:lncRNA from 1 species